GGGGUUGUAACUCAGUGGUAGAGUGUUCGGUUUACACGCGAAAAGCCCGGAGUUCAAUCCUCCGCAAUUCCA
rfam:Daphnia pulex DAPPTscaffold_152_Cont6032, whole genome shotgun sequence.